UACGUAGGGGGCGAGCGUUGUCCGGAAUCAUUGGGCGUAAAGCGCGUGUAGGCGGCUCGGUAAGUCUGCUGUGAAAGUCCAGGGCUCAACCCUGGGAUGCCGGUGGAUACUGUCGAGCUCGAGUCCGGAAGAGGCGAGUGGAAUUCCUGGUGUAGCGGUGAAAUGCGCAGAUAUCAGGAGGAACACCAAUGGCGAAGACAGCUCGCUGGGACGUGACUGACGCUGAGACGCGAAAGCGUGGGGAGCAAACAGG
rnacentral:rRNA from 1 species